UCGGGUGUGGUGCACGGUGCACGGCGGUUCCGAAUGAGUCGACAGACGACUAAAUAUGCACACGCUGCAGAACGGGGUUCGACUCCCCGCGCCCGAA